UAACUAACUCACCUGUCUAACUUAAUAGCAGUAGAUAGCUGAACAUUUUAACUAAGCCUGGCGUCGAAAUCCCCCCCAAAAGGCUGUAAUAAAGUUAUUUCUUUUUUGAACUGGAGCCAGAAUGGGAGGAUCCAGAGGAGUGGCCGCGGCGCCUGAAAUCACACAAACACCAUGGGAAGAGAAAAAAGAAACCCAAACCUUUCGGACGAACGUGAUCUAGAACGCCUCCGUUUUCUCCCUCCAGAUGAGGACCUGGAGCGACUGCGCUUCUGUCU